CCUACGGGAGGCAGCAGUGAGGAAUAUUGGUCAAUGGGCGAGAGCCUGAACCAGCCAAGUCGCGUGAGGGAGUACUGCCCUAUGGGUUGUAAACCUCUUUUGUCGGGGAGCAAAAGCCGGACGUGUUCGGCGGUGAGAGUACCCGAAGAAAAAGCAACGGCUAACUCCGUGCCAGCAGCCGCGGUAAUACGGGGGAUGCGAGCGUUAUCCGGAUUUAUUGGGUUUAAAGGGGGCGCAGGCGGGCUUUUAAGUCCGCGGUAAAAUCGUGGGGCUCAACCCCAUCCAGCCGUUGAAACUGGGGAUCUAGAGUGUGCGAGAGGUACGCGGAAUGCGUGGUGUAGCGGUGAAAUGCAUAGAUAUCGCGCAGAACCCCGAUUGCGAAGGCAGCAUACCGGUGCACAACUGACGCUCAGGCACGAAAGCGUGGGUAUCGAACAGGAUUAGAUACCCGAGUAGUC
rnacentral:rRNA from 1 species